rnacentral:rRNA from 1 species
AGAGUUUGAUCAUGGCUCAGAUUGAACGCUGGCGGCAGGCCUAAUACAUGCAAGUCGGGCGGAAACGAUGGAGCUUGCUCCAGGCGUCGAGCGGCGGACGGGUGAGUAACGCGUAGGAAUCUGCCCAGUAGAGGGGGAUAGCCCGGGGAAACUCGGAUUAAUACCGCAUACGCCCUACGGGGGAAAGCAGGGGAUCUUAGGACCUUGCGCUAUUGGAUGAGCCUGCGUUGGAUUAGCUUGUUGGUGGGGUAAAGGCCUACCAAGGCGACGAUCCAUAGCUGGUCUGAGAGGAUGAUCAGCCACACUGGGACUGAGACACGGCCCAGACUCCUACGGGAGGCAGCAGUAGGGAAUAUUGGACAAUGGGGGCAACCCUGAUCCAGCCAUGCCGCGUGUGUGAAGAAGGCCCUAGGGUUGUAAAGCACUUUCAGUAGGGAGGAAGGCUGUAAGGUUAAUACCCUUGCAGAUUGACGUUACCUACAGAAGCAGCA